UACGUAGGGGGCAAGCGUUGUCCGGAAUCAUUGGGCGUAAAGAGCGUGUAGGCGGCCCGAUAAGUCCGCCGUGAAAGCCCAGGGCUCAACCCUGGGAUGCCGGUGGAUACUGUCGGGCUAGAAUCCGGAAGAGGCGAGUGGAAUUCCUGGUGUAGCGGUGAAAUGCGCAGAUAUCAGGAGGAACACCGAUGGCGAAGGCAGCUCGCUGGGACGGUAUUGACGCUGAGACGCGAAAGCGUGGGGAGCAAGCAGG
rnacentral:rRNA from 1 species